rnacentral:piRNA from 1 species
UAAAGCUAAAUGGGUCGGCGGCGACCGGU